UAAGGGCAUUGUUUUAGCAAUGCCUCCAUUACUAGAUGCCUGCCCCGUCGCUCGUUUUCCCAUUGGAGCGGUGGUUCCCGUAGUUCAGGGUAGUUUUGGAGAGACGGCG
rnacentral:lncRNA from 1 species